UUGGAGGAGGAUUGCUGGUAAUGGCCCUCAGCUCAGCUUCUCCUUUUCUUGCUGACAAGGAUCCCUCAGCUGAACAAUUGAACAGAGAAGAGGUGGGGGCUUCCAGUGACCCAGGGACUGUUUGGACCAGGCCACAGAUCUAAGAGACCUUCUCACACUGCAAACCUCUUUUCCUGUGUGCCACCGGGGAUGUGUACCUGGGGCUUGAGCCCCUGCCUGAGCUCUGGAUCAGAGAGAGCCUGCUCCUGCACCUUGUCUGAAAUGGAACAGGGGUGACAGAUGAGCAGAGGAUCAAUAGCCAUCUGUCCAGGCUCCACUGACAAGCUAAUCUUUUCAGUAAACAUUUCAUUAGCUCCUGCCAGUCUGCUGCACCUGCUGACAGGAGAGGCCAAACGGAGUAGGGGGAGGGGAACCUCCGCUUUAUGGUAGGGCUCCAAUGGCAGCAGGGGUCUCCUGGCCCCUGAGAGCUAGUUAAGCUCAGCUGGAAUACCCCUGCCACGCACUGGAGGAAUCCGGAUCAUCCCCAAGAUUUUUGUAUUUGAAGGGACUUUUAAAAUCAUUUAACCCAAG
rnacentral:lncRNA from 1 species